rnacentral:rRNA from 1 species
GUACGUAGGUGGCGAGCGUUGUCCGGAAUUACUGGGCGUAAAGGGUGCGUAGGCGGAUAAUCAAGUCAGAUGUGAAAGUCCAUGGCUCAACUGUGGGAGUGCAUUUGAGACUGAAGAUCUAGAGUGCAGGAAAGGGAAGCGGAAUUCCUAGUGUAGCGGUGAAAUGCGUAGAUAUUAGGAAGAACACCAGUGGCGAAGGCGGCUUUCUGGACUGUAACUGACGCUGAAGCACGAAAGCGUGGGGAGCAAACAGGAUGAGAUACCCUGGUAGUCCACGCUGUAAACGAUGAGUAUUAGGUGUAGGGGACGAUAGUCUUCUGUGCCGGAGCAAACGCAAUAAAUACUCCGCCUGGGGAGUACGGUCACAAGACUAAA